UCCUGCCACCAACUGCUCGAUGUCCGCGUGCCAAUCCAAUUUGAACGCCUGUGAUUCACCCAAGAGAGGGCUUAUUUUAACUUCAUCAAGCACAGAGAAAAACAUCCAGGCUGAAAUGCACUGAACCCCUCUUCUCCACCAGGCCCUGUGCUGGGUGCUUGGGACAGAUGGGAAUCCCGGCUGACCCCUGACCUCACACAGUACCAUGUGGACCAUGUCAGCGUGAGGAUGGGUGACUCUCGGGCUGCAGGGACAGUGCAAUGACAGAGCUGCCCAGAAAUAGCUGCCUGCAAAUGACAAGCAGCCUUUGGAGGUAGCUGUUAUCUCUAUUGGACAGCCGAGAAACAGCUUCAGAGUCAAGAGGACUUGCUCAACGCAAGGAGGUGGGUGUGUCUGUCUC